GAUGAACGCUGGCGGUGUGCCUAAUACAUGCAAGUCGAGCGAACAGACGAGGAGCUUGCUCCUCUGACGUUAGCGGCGGACGGGAGAGUAACACGUGGAUAACCCAACUACAAGACUGGGAUAACUUCGGGAAACCGGAGCUAAUACAGGAGAAUAUAUUGAACCACAUGGUCCCAUAGUGAAAGACGGAUUUGCUGACACAUAUACAUGGAACCGCGCCGAAUUAUAUAGUUGGUAAGGUAACGUCUUACCAAGGCAACGAUGCGUAGCCGACCUGAGAGGGAGAUCGACCACACUUGAAAUGAGACCCGGUCCAGACGCCUACGGGAGGCAGCAGAAGGGAAUCUGCGGCAAUGGGCUAAAGCCUGACGGAGCAACGGCGCGUGAGUGAUGGAGGUAUUCGGAUCGUAAAACUCUGUUAUUAGGGAAGAACAAAUGUGUAAGUAACUAAGCACGACUUGACGGUACCUAAUCAGAAAGCCACGGCUAACUACGUG
rnacentral:rRNA from 1 species